AUGGAGGAGGCGCCGCCGGCCCCGCGGGUGGUGGGGGAGUACGAGCUCGGGGAGAUGGUGGGGAAGGGGACGUUCGCGGAGGUGUUCCGCGCGGUGCACGGCCCCACCGGCGCGCGCGUCGCCGUCAAGGAGAUCGACCGCCGCCGCGUCGACGACCACGUCCGCCGCGGCAUCCUCCAGGAGAUGAGCAUCCUCGGCAGCCUCUCCCACCCCAACAUCCUCCGCCUCAUCAACACCAUCGAGACGGGGGAGAAGCUGUUCCUGGUGCUGGAGUACUGCGACGGGGGCGACCUCGAGGCCUACAGGCAGACGCACGGCGGGCCUCGGAACCGGCUGCCGGAGGCCACCGCCAGGGACUUCGCCCGGCAGCUCGCCGAGGGGCUCAAGGUGCUGAGGGGCGAGAGGAUCGUGCACCGGGACCUCAAACCCCAGAACCUUCUGCUAUCAGCCGAUGGGGACGCCAUUACAUUGAAAAUUGGCGAUUUUGGGUUUGCCAGAUCUCUGAUGCAUGAAAAUUUGGCUGCCACUUUUUGUGGCUCUCCAUAUUAUAUGGCCCCAGAAAUCUGGCGAGGGGAUAAAUAUGACGCGAAGGCAGAUUUAUGGAGUGUUGGAGUCAUUCUUUUCCAGCUAGUAACAGGGGAGCUACCAUUUCUUGGGGAGAAUAGAGUGGAGCUGCGCGAAAAAGUAUUGUCAUCUAGUGGCCUCAGUUUCCCUCCAGAUAUGGAGGCUGAUUUACAUCCUGAGUUUAUUGACCUGUGCAGAAGACUCAUAUGCCUUGAUCCAGCGGAGAGAAUGCCUUUUGAGGAAUUCUUUAAUCACAACUUUUUGGCAACAGCAAGGAACAGUGAAAUCAUGGAUGAGUCCCAUCAUGCUCUUGAUUUAAGGGACACAUGCCAGACUGUCUCUUCUGCUGUCGUCAAAGUAAAGUCUGAAAGUGUAGAUUCAAAAGUAUUUGAUUCAUGGGAGUGGGUUGAACGAGAAUACGUAUUAGUUCAUGCGAACACUACUUCCAUGGAGUUGCUGUCUUCACUCGAGAAGCCAAUGAAGGAUGUCACAGGUGCAAGACCCCGCUGUGAUGAUAUAUCCACUAUCAGUGGGCCUAUUCAGAGUCAAAACAGAGACUCACUCUAUAGAGUGAAAUCCCAUGGAUGUACUCCACUGUCCGCUUCCUGUGAGUCAACUACUAUGGAAAAUCUGCGAGGGAGGCCACUUGAUUGUUAUACAAGACUUCACCUACUGAAUCAGUAUAUUGUCAUUCUCACAGAACUUGCUCAGGAGAAGCUUUUUAAAGGGCUGGACCUGGAGGCACUAUCACUUGAACUUGUGAUACUUGCUAUCUGGAAAGAGGCGCUUAAUGCAUGUAGCUUAUUGCCGGAUGCUUUAGAUGAUGGAAGUUUUUCGACAUUUGCACACGAGAAUUACUUUCCUAAGAGUGAUCAGCGUCUAUCCCCGAAUGUAGCGCAAGGAUUGGAUUUCACUAGGCCGGCUUCUGUUCGUUACUGGGUUGAAAGUGGGUUCAUCAAGGCAUAUGACCGUGCUGAGAAGAUAUCACAUAGGUUGCGGGAGAACAAUGAUAACACUGAGAUGCCAGACGCAAUGGAGAUCAUAUUCCAAACUGCUUUAGUAUAUGGGAAAACUGACAAAGGAACUUUUGGGAUGCCAAAACAAAUCAAUGGCGCUAUACUCAAAAGCAAUCAUCCUACUCACAUUUAUAUUGCAGGAAGCAACCGCGUUGCCACUGAAUCCACUCUUCUCGCUUUCACCAUUCAACCAGCAGCGUAUCCGGAGUCAUCUGUGCAGUGCUCAGUUGAGCGGGCAACAGCAGAGGUCCAUCAAGAACUAACUUUUCUCAUGGGAAUCGUCAUUUCGCGAGAAUGA
rnacentral:rRNA from 1 species